rnacentral:rRNA from 1 species
GAUGAACGCUGGCGGCGUGCCUAAUACAUGCAAGUCGAGCGAACAGACGAGGAGCUUGCUCCUCUGACGUUAGCGGCGGACGGGUGAGUAACACGUGGAUAACCUACCUAUAAGACUGGGAUAACUUCGGGAAACCGGAGCUAAUACCGGAUAAUAUAUUGAACCGCAUGGUUCAAUAGUGAAAGACGGUUUUGCUGUCACUUAUAGAUGGAUCCGCGCCGCAUUAGCUAGUUGGUAAGGUAACGGCUUACCAAGGCAACGAUGCGUAGCCGACCUGAGAGGGUGAUCCGCCACACUAGAACUGAGACACGGUCCAGACUCCUACGGGAGGCAGAAGUAGGGAAUCUUCCGCAAUGGGCGAAAGCCUGACGGAGCAAAGCCGCGUGAGUGAUAAAGGUCUUCGGAUCGUAAAACUCUGUUAUUAGGGAAGAACAAAUGUGUAAGUAACUAUGCACGUCUUGACGGUACCUAAUCAGAAAGCCACGGCUAACUACGUG